GGGGUUGUAGCUCAGUGGUAGAGCACUUACCUUGCACGUGUGAGGGCAUGGGUUUGAUCCUCAGCACCA
rfam:Ictidomys tridecemlineatus contig086154, whole genome shotgun sequence.